AAUCUUGCGCAAUGGGCGAAAGCCUGACGCAGCCAUGCCGCGUGAGUGAGGAAGGUCUUAGGAUUGUAAAAUUCUUUCACCGGGGACGAUAAUGACGGUACCCGGAGAAUAAGCCUCGGCUAACUUCGUGUUACCUGCCGCGGUAAUACGAAGGGGGCUAGCGUUGCUCGGAAUUUCUGGGCGUAAAGGGCGCGUAGGCGGAUCGUUCAGUCAGGGGUGAAAUCCCGGGGCUCAACCUCGGAACUAGUCUUGAUACUGGCGAUCUUAGGUAUGAGAGAGGUAUGUGGAACUCCGAGUGUAGAGGUGAAAUUCGUAGAUAUUCGGAAGAACACCAGUGGCGAAGGCGACAUACUGGCUCAUUACUGACGCUGAGGCGCGAAAGCGUGGGGAGCAAACAG
rnacentral:rRNA from 1 species